rnacentral:lncRNA from 1 species
CCACCAUGGAAGACAUGCCUUUCGCCUUCUGCCAUAAUUGUGAGGCCUCCCCAGCCAUGUGGAACUACGGAGUGUCGCUGUGUCGCCCAGGCUGGAGUGCAGUGGUGAGAUCUCGGUUUGCUGCAAGCUCCGCCUCCCGGGUUCACGCCAUUCUCCUGCCUCAGCCUCCCAAGUAGCUGGGACUACAGGCGCCCACCACCACACCCGGCUAAUUUUUUGUAUUUUUAGUAGAGACGGGGUUUCAUUUUGUUAGCCGGGAUGGUCUCCAUCUCCUGACCUAGUGACCGCCCGCCUCCGCCUCCCAGAGUGCUGGGAUUACGGGCGUGAGCCACCGCGCCCGGCCGGUAAUGCCAUUUUUCACUUCUUGUACUUCUUGAGCUCAGGUAGGAAGUUGAGGCAUUUUGGCGUUUAGAUGCUUACACAUUGUAACAGCCUAGGAAUUUUGUUCAAAAUACAAAACAAACAUAUCAUCUUUUCCAAGUGUUGACAUUGCCAUAGGAAUGUCUAUUUAUUUAUGUUUUUGAAAGAGGGUUUUAAUAUCCUGUACAACACUUACUGACAGUCCUAUCAGACUUGGUAGCAGUUUCCAGGAGUAGAAUAACUAUCAAGAUUAGAAAUUUGCAGGAAGACAGAGGAACGCAUUCUGCAUGGCUACGAGUAGCUGUUUCAGAGUUUAAAAUAGUGAAAGGAAGUAAAGGCGGUGAUAUUUCACAGACAUUUCAGACAUUAAAUGACUUGUAGAUUUUUUCGUGUAUGUGCGUGUGCGUGUGUGUGUGUGUGUGUGUGUGUGUGUAUAACAAUCCAGGCUACACAAAUAGAUUGUUUCCUGGGGCAAUGUGAUGUAUAAACACAGUUUGGUACUUGUUCCACUGAACUCGUGGCUUCUAAUUCUAACAAGAUUCUUUAUCGGGCCCUUUAGAAAGACUUAAGAUUUUUCUCAUAGAUCAAAAAUACUUGACUGCUGAUUGACAUUACUUCUUUCUAACAGAUGGUGCUAUCUUGCUGCCAACGAUUCCAUGGCAAACCCUCCAGAUAAGUCCCUUCCUCUAGUUAUCAAAUUUGCCUAUUCAGUACAUCUGGCCCACAAGCCAAUUUGAUAUCAUGAUGUCUUCAAGAAAGUCUCUUUAAAAACUCUCUAAUAAUGCAAGUAUUUAAUUCCUCAAUAAUUUUAUUUCAUUAGUUUUUUCUCUUUAUUAAGAGCUAGACAUAUCAUAGAUAUAUCACUUGCUUCUGGCUUCUGAAUGUAUUUUGUUUAUCUUGGCUGUUUUUAUGUUAAAGGAAGAUAUUCAUUAACAUGGCCAAAUUAUGUUGAUCUAAAAUACCAAAAAGAUUUUGAAUAACUCUGCUAUGUACAGCUCUAAAUAUUUAAAAUGGAAAAGUUAGCUUUAUUGUGUGAGACACUUUCAGGAGCUGAGACCAUCUGGUGACCACUCCAGGUCUCUUUUAGCUUUGUGAUUUCUUGACACCGUGAUUUUUGAGUUGUAUUAGGCCUAUUAAAGUUGUCAGGCACAACAUAUAAAUAUAGAUCUAGCUAACAGCAGUCAUUUGCAUCUCCUUGGCCAAUUUUCUGUUGAAUACUGCCACCUUUAAUGGAAUGGCUUAAAAAUUAAAUGUACAUAUAAUAAUUAUAUUGGAUUAUAUUAAAUAGUUAAUCAAGUGUGUCUUUAUAAAGCAAUUUUAAUUUCAUAACUCAUUAUCUUUUAACUUUAUACUAUGAAAAAUUUCAAACAUAUAUAGAAAUAGAAGGAAUCGUAUAAUAGUAUAUAGGCACCUUGGGUAGGUACCUAGUUGUCAAAUUACUCCACAAUUCCAUCACCCAUCCUCCGGCUUCAAUCAUUAAGAAUCUAUUGCUAUCUCGUUUUAUCUAUGCCUCCCUACCUCUGACCCCACAUAGGUUUUUUUUAAUAGCUUUACUGAAGUAUAAUUUUACUUUAUUAUUAUUAUUUUUAAUAGAGGUGAAGAUCUCACUAUGUUGCCCAGGCUGGUCUUGAACUCCUGAGUUCAAGUGAUCUGCCUGCCUUGGCCUCGCAAAGUUCUGGGACUACAGACAUGAGCCACUACACCCAGCCUAUAAUUUUACCUUCCAUAUAAUUAAUCCGUUGUGAGUGUGUAACUCAGUUAUUUUAGGUUAAUUUCUAGAGUUGUGAAAUGAUCACCACAAUCUAGCUUUGGAAUAUUUCCAUUACUCCCACAAGUUCCCCUGUGUCUGUUUACGGUCAAUCCCUACUCCCAUACCCAGGUCCAAGUAACCACUAAUCUACAAAUGUAUAGAUUGCCCCUUUCUGGGCAUUUCAUGUAAAUGUAAUCAUACAGUAUACAGCCUUUUGCAUCUGGCUUCUUUUACUUAGCAUAAUGUUUUUGGUAUAAUGUUCACCCAUGCUACAGCAUGUAGUAUUAGUUCAUUCCUUUUUAUUGUUGAAUUGUAUUUCAUUAUAUGGAUAUAUUACAUAUUCAUUAUCCAAUCAUCAGUUGAUGGAAUUAGCAUCGUUUCCAGUCUGGGGCUAUUAUGUUAUGUAUAAUGCUGCUGUAAACCAUUCAUGUGAAAGUUCUUUUGUGAACAUGUAUUUUCAUCUCUCUUGGGCAGGUACCUAGUUGUGGAAUUGCUGAAUUGCUUGGUAAGAUUUUAUUUAUCCUUUUAAGAAGCUGCCAAACUGUUCCCCAAAUGGCUGUACCAUUUGUAUUCCCAGCAGUAAACACAUUCUCACCACCAUUUGGUAUUAUUUGUCU